AUUGAACGCUGGCGGCAGGCCUAACACAUGCAAGUCGAGCGAGCGGCGGACGGGUGAGUAAUGUAUGGGGACUGCCCGAUAGAGGGGGAUAACUACUGGAAACGGUGGCUAAUACCGCAUACUAUCGGAUAACCCAUAUGGGAUUAGCUAGUCGGUGGGGUAAAGGCUCACCUCGGCGACGAUCGCUAGCUGGUCUGAGAGGAUGAUCAGCCACACUGGGACGGAGGAACGGCCCAGAUUCCUACGGUGGAAGCAUUGGAGAAUAUUGCACAAUGGGCGCAAGCCUGAUACAGCCAUGCCGCGUGUAUGAAGAAGGCCUUAGGGUUGUAAAGUACGUUCAGCGGGGAGGCGUUACCCGCAGAAGAAGCACCGGCUAACUCCGUGCCAGCAGCCGCGGUAAUAC
rnacentral:rRNA from 1 species